CGCAAGCCUGACGGAGCAAGACCGCGUGGGGGAGGAAGGUCUGUGGAUUGUAAACCCCUUUUCUCUAGGAAGAAGUUCUGACGGUACUAGAGGAAUCAGCAUCGGCUAACUCCGUGCCAGCAGCCGCGGUAAGACGGAGGAUGCAAGCGUUAUCCGGAAUUAUUGGGCGUAAAGCGUCCGUAGGCGGUUUUUCAAGUCUGCCGUUAAAGACUACAGCUUAACUGUGGGCCGGCGGUGGAAACUGAGGAACUUGAGUAUGGUAGGGGUAGAGGGAAUUCCCAGUGUAGCGGUGAAAUGCGUAGAUAUUGGGAAGAACACCAGUGGCGAAGGCGCUCUGCUGGGCCAUAACUGACGCUGAGGGACGAAAGCUAGGGGAGCG
rnacentral:rRNA from 1 species